UGAGUCUUCUUUCUCUAAUGACAUCACUUGUUAGGUCAUAAUAAUCAGGUAACACUAUGAGCGUGGAUACUUUCCCUCUGUUUAGAACCCCAGAAGGCUUAUGUCAAACCAAAUUAGAUUAUAGGUUAUGGGCUGGUUCAGAACUUGGCAAUUUAUUCAUUCUAACAGAACAACUUAUGAGGUGCCCUAAUGUGAGUUUGCAAAAACUGCCAGAACAGUGGUUAUGGAAUGUUUUGGAGGAAAUCAAAAGCAGCGAUCCUUCAUCUAAACUCUGUGCUACAAGGCACAGUGCUGGAAUUCCCUUCUACAUACAGGCAUUGUUGGCAUCUUAACCGAAGAAAGGCAAAAUGGAUUUGUUGAAAAUAACAAUGAAAGAAUUAAUUUCCAUGGCUGGGCCUGCUUGUGACUCACAAAACACAGUUCCUCAGGACUGUCCAGCAGAGAGAAGAUGCCCAGGAACCACCCGUCAGAUUCUCUACCCAGUCAAGGACAUUAAUCAACAUGACCAAUAUGAUCAUCUCAGAGCAAAAGAUAGAAAAAUCCCAGCAGAAAACCAAACGAGAAAAACGGAAGGACUCGUCAACUCCCCACAAGUUUGGCUUAGGUUGACCUCAGCAAGAUUUCCCUCGGAGUUGAAACUCUUAGAAUUCUGCAGAAGUAUCUGGAGCAGUGCUGAGACAAGACCAAUCUGUUCCUCAUUUGUCUAAGUACCUCUUUUUCCUGUUUUUCUUCUCCUCUGUCCCUUGUUUAUUCUUUUUCCCACCUGUUUUCACCCACUCUUCAUUUCCCCCUCUCUCCUCCUUGGUGGAUUUCCCAAUUAUGUUACCUUCCCUCUGUGGAUGUGGAGUUCCUCAGGAAAUCUUCCUCCCUGGUUAAGAACUGAAGCGCUGGUGCUAAGUAAGGCCCCAGUGGGACCCAGGAACACUCUCCAGGAGGAGUGCUCUCCGCUCCAGAUCACUUGGGCUAGACUGAAUGCCCCGUAUCUGUAAUCACAUGUAUCCAGCCUUGAACUUGCUGAUGUAUUAUGAUUAACUGGUUCUAUUUCUUUAUCACCAGACUCUCUUCCCCGAGGAGAGGAACUGUGCCAGGACCUAACAGAGUUUACGGUACAGAACAGGCACACUGCUUAUGAGUUUGACUAAUGAAUAAAUGAAUAUUUUCAGGGGGA